GACGAACGCUGGCGGCGUGCUUAACACAUGCAAGUCGAACGGAAAGGCGCUGAGUUUGUGGGUUGCUCGAGUGGCGAACGGGGGAGUGAAACGUGAGUAAACUGUCCUUGACUGUGGGAUAAAAUCAGGGAACUGGGGCGAAUACCGGGUAGGAUCUCCUGCUGCAUGGUGGGGGUUGGAGAGAGUCGGCGGUUGGGGAUGGACUCGAGGCUUAUCCGCUUGUUGGUGGGGUAGUGGCUGACAAAGUUUUUGACGGGUAGGCCGCCUUGGAGCGUGACCGGCCACCUUGGGCCUGCGAUACGGCCCAGUCUCCUACGGGCGGCAGCAGUGGGGAAUAUUGCACAAUGGGCGGAAGCCUGAUGCAGCAACGCCGCGUGCGGGAUGACGUCCUUCGGGUUGUAAACCGAUUUCGCAUGUGCCGAAGCGUGAGUGACGGUAAUGAGUCAAGAAGCACCGGCUAACUACGUG
rnacentral:rRNA from 1 species